GCUGAUGGUUUUCACAUUUGGUUAACAUUCUACCUAGUAACAAUAUCAUCGAAUGAAAUUCGUUUAUACUAAAGUGAAAGUGAUUAUAUGAUGAAAACUAACAUC
rnacentral:pre_miRNA from 1 species